rnacentral:rRNA from 1 species
UACGUAGGGGGCAAGCGUUGUCCGGAUUUAUUGGGCGUAAAGAGCGUGUAGGCGGCCAGACAGGUCAGCUGUGAAAACUCGAGGCUCAACCUCGAGACGUCGGUUGAAACCGUCUGGCUAGAGUCCGGAAGAGGAGAGUGGAAUUCCCGGUGUAGCGGUGAAAUGCGCAGAUAUCAUUUGGAACGCCAAUGGUGAAAACAGGUAGCUGGGGCUGUACUGACACUGAGACACGAAAGCCAGGGGAGCAAACGGG